rnacentral:tRNA from 1 species
CGGGUCUUAGCUCAAAUUGGUAGAGCAACUGACUUGUAAUCAGUGGGUUUGGGGGUUCAAGUUCUUUGGCCCGG